UGUUCUUUCUUAAAGGGAUCAUUCAAAAGUUUCAAAUUUAGAUAUAGCAAUUUUGUAACACUGUCCUAACUGUUGUGCCUAAAUGUGCUUUAAAACCUGCCUAAAUGUGAUAAGAUUAUACACUGGAAUAAAUGUGCUUUAAAAUAA